rnacentral:misc_RNA from 1 species
GAUGAAGAACGCAGCGAAAUGCGAAAAGUAAUGUGAAUUGUAGAAUUCAGUGAAUCAUCGAAUCUUUGAACGCACAUUGCGCCCGCCAGUAUUCUGGCGGGCAUGCCUGUCUGAGCGUCAUUUCAACCCUCACGCCCCUAGGGCGUGGUGUUGGGGAUCGGCCAGCGCCCGCGAGGACAAGGCCGUCCCCCAAAUCUAGUGGCGGACCCGUCGUGGCCUCCCCUGCGAAGUAGUGAUAUUCCGCAUAGGAGAGCGACGAGCCCCUGCCGUUAAACCCCCAACUUUCUCAGGUUGACCUCAGAUCAGGUAGGAAUACCCGCUGAACUUAAGCAUAUCAAUAAGCGGAGGA